UUAAAAGCUGUGCUUACUCCUCCCUUCCCCGAGACAUUUUUCAAUUUGGCUUUGAGCAUCUUGCUGUUCUAACACUUCCCUCCUCCUAUUGCAAUAUGCCUUUUUAAAAGUUUGUCCGUAUUCAUGUCCAGAGUGCAUUUUUUUUCUUUAGCAGUAAUGAUGUCAUGACCCGGAUAAAAUGCCCACUGCCCCAGGGCUCUGCUUUCUUCACCCGACACCAUCUCCAGGAGUUUCUGUGCCUUUUUCUGGCUGGGGAACCUGGGAUCCGCAGUGGCAUCCCACUUUUCAAGUGCCUGGUCUGAAGGACACUAAAACAACUAAUCUUUCCUAACAGGCCUAACAAGUAGCUCAACUGGUCCUCCAGGGAGAGCAGAAUUGAGCGAAAUCUGACACCAAGAUACAAAAAUUAAGACUAAGAGAAGCUGAACCACCUUCCAAAGGUUAUGUGGAGAAGCUGAUGUAACAGUGCUCAGAAGGAAGAGCCCUGAUUCUCUCCUCAGAGACGGCCAACUAACCCGUAUUCUCAGCCUGGGUCUUAUCAGCAAGCAAGCAGAGGUUCACCGUAUUUGAGGAUUCGGAGGUGCACUUAGCAGAGUGUUUCUACUCAAAGCAUCUGAGACUUCAUCUGUCCUGCAGUGCCUCAGAUACAGUAGGACCUCAACAAAGAUGAGGAGAACUAAAGAAAAGAGAGGACAUCUGUCAAGGUCUCCAAAGCUUGAAGUGGUAGAACCUGGGUUGAACUCAGACCUCAGAUUCUGGGAUUUGUCCUUUACACCAGAAAAUAUCCUCUGCCUUGGCCAGCUCAGACCUCACAGGUAGACAUCCCUGGAAUUCUCCUCCAAGUCAAAAAACCUACAUUCUGAAGCUCAAACCUUGCAGAGAGUUAAGCAGAUAAGUAACCCUCACAUGUCCUCUUUCCUUUCUCCAUGCAUUCUAUAUUAGUCAUUUGACUCAUUAAGGAGAGUGUAGCUAUGAGUUGAGUUAGUACUCUGAAGGAAGGGCAGACAGUUGUUGAAAGUGAAUCACAAAUUUUGAUUUAAUACCUACCAUAGACUAAAGUCACCCAGACUGGAAGACUGUCUGUGAUUCAGAGCAUACAGGAGAAUGUUUCCAUAGUAGGUGUCUGUGAGUAGAAGAUGUCUAAAGUUUAUACAGCCAUGCUUUGCUGUCCCUGCCUCUUAGGAAGCUUCCAGCCUAAAAGGAAGGAACAGGAUCAAUCAGCUAAUUCACUGGUGAAUGUCCAGCUGCAGAGUGAGCAUAGUCCUCUGAAGGAAAGGAGGACAGGUCUGUCUGUAGCAGGGACUCAGAGGAAGCUGAGCUGGCCCUGGGGCAGCAGAAUAGCCUUCCUAAAGAUGCUUGGGCUGAGAGCUGAAGGAUGAAAAGGCUCUUAUUAUGUGGCAGACAAGAGAUGGGAAGAGGAUUCUAGGCAGAAGAAACAGCAUUUGCAAAGGCAAGAGAGAGCAGGUUGGUGUGGCAGCCCCAGGCAGGGAGCAUGGUGCUGGAUGCAUUGAGGCUGAAGCAGGAGGCAGACGCAGGUCACACAGCAUCUGACAGAGCCACCAUCUCUGUGCAAAGAGCACAAGGGAGCCAUAGAAGGACACAGGCAGAGCAGGGGUAUGAAGCAAUACUCAAUGAGUCAGUAGACAAAUAAGGAAACCCAGAUCCUUGGUCCUCCCUCCUCCCAAGCCCCAACCUCAUGGCAUUCUCAAUCUACACACAAAGUCUACCCAGUAGAGGUCCUCACCAAGCCACCCAGACCAUGGAACCUCAGGGUUGGUAGGGACCUGGCCCUGCAUCAUCUAGACACACUCCCAUUAGCUAAGCACUUUCUUGCCCUCUCUGAAUCAUAGUUCAUCUCCAAUCUGUGUGAAACUCGAUAUCUGGACUCAGCAUGGGCUUCAUAGCUGGGUGACUGCCAACAAAUUAUAUCCCCUCUGUGAUCAUCCUUUUCUGUGACUGCACUAAGGAGACAGGAGUGCUGAUUGAUUAUUAAGAUAAUGCAGAGAAGGUCUCUAGCACCAUAUCCAGUCUUUAGUAGAUGCCCAGUACGUGACGAUUUCAUCUCAAAGUCUGAAUUCAGCCAUUCAUCCUGAGCUCUAUCUUUCUCCCAACUGGGCAGAGUGGCAGCUCUAAGAUACCCACCUGUGUACACAUGAUCAGAGCUCAGAGUUAAAUCAGCCCUGUGUACACAUGUAUCAGAGCUCAGAGUUAAAUCAGCCCAGUCAUCCACUAAAUAAUUGUGCUUAUUAGACAAACCCAUAGAAAAAAUUAAUUAAAAAAAUCAUGAAUUUGUCCGUGGUAGAGAAAGGAGAAAUUGAAGAAAAAAAAAAUGUUUUCUUCUGCACAUAAUUCUCUAUUGUUCCUUGAGAAAUAGCUGGCACAAUUUUGCUUGAGUUCAACAAAUGAAUGUCAUCCUACCAAAAGAAAAUGAGUUAAAUAUUCUAGUGAAAAAUAAACAUUUGAAAAAAUUAUCUAUUGGUAUAUUUAUGUUCAUGUGUUCGAUUUACAAUUGCAGUCUCCUUCCAUGCUAAGUGUUGUGAAUCUGAAAGAUGAAUAAAAUACAACGCCACCCUUCAGGGAUGUCAGAGUGUCCAGAAGAGGGAGAUAUUAAACAAACAGCUACCGCACUGGAACUGAAGUGCAGAGGGAGGGCUUUGAGCAAGGAAUGCAGCCAUGACUCUCCCUGUUUGUGCCAAAGUCAGGAAAAGCUUCAUAGAGGUGAAUCCCAUCUAAGCUGGACUUGAAGGUUGUGUUCUGAAUUUUCCAACUAAGAAAAGAAAGAAGGGUAUUGAUAACAGGAGGAACAGCUUGUGCAAGGAAGUGAAGCCCGAGAAGGGUGUGUUUUCUUCCCUGCCUACCUAGCUAUCUCUUUAUCAACUUCCAGGAAAUGAAUUAGAUGCUUACUAAUGACUCUCGAGUAUUUUCAGCUCUAAGAAGAGUUUUAAAUUACUGGAGUCACAUAUGGGUUAAGACUAUCAUGAUGACUUGACUUUAAGUCUUAUUAAUCAAAGAUGCAAGGCAGAAAAAAAUAACCAUUUUGUGAGUUCAGCAACCUGUAACCUCACAAACACUGUGCUUCACAACUUAGGGUAACUUAGUUCGGUGACUGAAUAGUCUGGGGCUAACUACAUCUGACUAGAUUAUUCUAAUGUGAUGGGUUGAUAUGUGCCAUGGAUGGGAGGAAACGGGUUUUGAGAAUUGCAGCCGGUGACAGUUUGCUAGGGUCUGGAUUGAAAUUGAACAUGGGAAAUAGGAUGGGGUGGGUGGGGAGAGCACAGGGCAGGGAGAUGGAGGUAAAUAUUUGUCAGUCGAGCUUAGGAAGGUGUUCCACGUUCAUUUCAGAGCAAAUCUAAGAUCUGUGAUUCUGCCUUUAGCUCCAGGUAAAGGUUUGUCUUCCUUUUUUCUAAGCUAAACAUGUCUACUGAGCCCUCCAACUCAAAAUCAUUUAUAUGGAACUUGUACAAAACUUCUUCUAAAAAAUACAAAAUGUUCUUAUUUGAUCCUCAACAUUGAGGUAGGGUUAUAACCCCCACCUCCACUCCAUUUCUAAAAUGGAGAAAACCUAAGCCCAGAGACAUCAUGUAGCCUACCAGUUGCCCAUAAGUGAUGGAACUGUGGGUCACAACUUUAUUUUGCUUCUGCCCCAGUGCCCUACUGGACUCUGGUUUCGCAUCUUGGCUGGGAGAGUCUGGGAGGACUAUUUGUUUUUGUUGGAGACACAGAUGCCGAGGAGGCCUAGGUAGGUGAAAGCCUUGCCUUCUCCUAGUAGACAGGGUCUGGACCAGCUCUGUCACCGAGAGAAGUCCACAGUGGCUACUACACCUUCACAAGCUCAUGUGGCCCAGAAUGCGGCAUUCUGUGAGCAUGCAGGCUGAUAACUAUCUGGUAACCCUGCAGGGGCCACCGAGCAGAGAUGCUCACUCACACAUUAGUAUGGCUCUGCAGGCUGUACCUCAUUCCAUAGGCUGGAGCAAAUAAGUCAUUUCUUCACUAAAGCCUCUCUCUCCUUCCCUUCCAUUUGGAACACACACCUCAGAUUUGGGAUGUUGGGAAGGGCUAAGGUUUGGUAGACUAUUCUCUGCCUGUUUCUAUUCUCUGGCGAUCAUGUCUGCAGAAGCCUCUUGUAAUAUUAGAGUACAGUUCCAAUGCAAACCUGUCACCAAUCUAUGAGGUCCAUUACCUUCAUAUGCCUAGUGAGCAAAUCACAGAUAUGCAGUAAAUAACAGCAGAAAUAAUACGGCAUUAUUGUGUGAAGUUUAUAAAGCUUAUAUCAAGUUUCAUUGCAUAGUGUUAUGUUUACUGCAACUUGACUCAUAAGAUCUGCUUACUAUGAAAUGUGUUGGCCUACUGCAGCUCCUCUGAGGUCCUGAGGGACGCCAUCCAGGAAAGACAGCUAAUAUUUACUUUUGCUGAAACAUCAUGCACUCAUGUGCGAUCUCUCUCUCUCUCUCCCCACUUCAGUCUUAUGAAUUUUAGCAAGCUAUUGAAUGUUGAGCAGUUCAGCAGGCUAUUGAGUAACUUCUCAUUUGCCAUCAAGGGCAGGUGCAUGGUCCCAGGGACUGUGCAUGGGUUGGGCAGUCUGUUAGGGGCUCUCCAAUCCCUUCACACAUUAGUUGUGCAAGUCACCUUUCUCUGGGAUUCUAUAUUUCUAGCUAUAAGAUGGAAAUGAUAACAGUCACUGAUUUGCAAGGAACAAAUUAGGAGGUAGUGGUAAGGGGUCAGAUUUCCUGAGAUCAGUCCUUCCACCACUGCAGUGGACACUGUCGCAGAUGCUGUGAUGCUCCACUCAGAGUCCUUCCUACAACUGAGAAACUCCAGCCCGUAGUUGCAAGAAGUGUAGGUGUUGACAUCUUAAAGCAGAGCUCCCCUCCAGACAUCACCCCCCACUAGCUGGAGAGAGCCACCUUGUCCAACAGCCUGAAGCAGUUCAAAGGUUUGACCUCUUCUCUUCAAUCCAUCUCUGAAGGGUCAUCCUAACUGCAGAGACGCCUAAGGGACCAGCUUCAGCUUUGUUCCAGCCACUUUUCCUCAGUCCUGCUUUUCUUACACCUGAGAGGUGUUGCUCCAGAGAACACUCCUCCAGCAACUUUCUGAGGCAGCACAAGUCCCCAAUGAGAGAGAGAGAAGAGGAGGCCGAGAGAUGAGAAGGAAAAUCCUUGUCUGCUCAGCAUUUCUGAAGGACGACUUUGCACUAGCAGCCUAGAAGCACCUGGGAAGGGUCCCCAGGCCAGGAAGAACAGAUUGUUUUCUUGAUGAGUGACUUGCCCAGGUGAUGCAUAAGAACUGCUGACCCCUGAUGCUGACUACUGAUGGCACUUGUGUGAUGGACUUGAUGAAUGAUCUUCCUUGGUGGCCCACCUCUCUGCUCCAGAAAGAAAAAGUAGAAUAAAGUCAAAACCCCUCCCUUACCCUUCUAGUCCCCCUUGAGCCUGGUCCCUACCUUUAUCCCGUCUUAUUUCCCACUCCUUCGCCCCUCCCCAUGCCUUGGCAGACCUGCAGUCUCAGCCUGAAUCUCCACUUCUGACAUUGCCAAAUGUCAUUUUUGUUCUUGUGAAGCUCUUCCCAGCCACUUCUGCCAUAAAAGCUUAUCUCCCCUAUGAAGUCUUCCACAUUUCCCCAAGUUAAAAUGAAUUAAAUCCACUCUCCUCUUUAUAUUUCACAUAGCUUUUGGACAUCUUAUAAAAUUAAUUACUGACUCAAAAAAAUGUUGUAAGCUGUCAUCAUAAGGCAAGGUCUGCUAGGGGUAUAAUGGGUAUUACCUCAUUUAAUCAUCCCCCAAAUUAUAUGAGGCAAGCAUAAUCAUUUAAAAUCUGCUUUUAGAAAGCUAUAACCCAGUUACAACUUAACAAUAGGGGGAAGUGGGAAGGGGGUGGGUGGGUAGAGGGAGGGGGAUCGGUGGGAUCACACCUGUGGUGCAUCUUACAGGGGUAUUUGCAAAACUUGGUAGAUGUAGAAGGUAAAGGUUUUGGCACAGUAACUGAGAUAAUGCCGGAAAGGCUAUGUUAACCACUGUGAUAAAAAUGUGUCAAAUGGUUUAUGAAGCGAGUGUAUGAUGCCCCAUGAUCAUAUCAAUGUAUACAGUUAUGAUUUAAUAAAAAAAAUAAUAAUAAAAAAAUAAAAAUAAAAAUAAAAAAAUAAAAUCUGCUUUUAUAAACAAG